CUGAUACAAGAGGUGUGGUGAUGACCGAUAGAGGAAGUUUAAUCAACAAAUCCGUUUCUUCUGGCAAAGAGGUAUACAGGCUGGCAACAGGAGCCAGUCAGCAGCCGGAGCCACUGUCCUGUCCAAGGGGACACCUCUAUACCAGACCUGAGCCCUAGGACCAUGCCCCAGGACUACUUGACAUGAUGACUCCUUGCUGUCCCCAGUCCACCUGGCUGUGCUGCUGCUCCAGUUUCAACUGUUCUACCUUAUUAUUAUUCGACCAUGCUGGUCAUUUAUGAACAUUUGAACAUCUUGGCCAUGUUCUGUUAUAAU